rnacentral:rRNA from 1 species
GACGAACGCUGGCGGCGUGCCUAAUACAUGCAAGUCGAGCGAAGCGGCGGAUGGGUGAGUAACGCGUGGGUAACCUGCCCGUUAGUGUGGGCUACCAGUUGGAAACAGUUGCUAAGAAUGAAUACUAAAGGAUGGACAUGCGAUGCAUUAGCUAGUUGGGAAGGUAACGGCUUACCAAGGCGAUGAUGCAUAGCCGACUUGAGGGGCUGAUCGGCAACAUUGGGACUGAGACACGGCCCAAACUCCUACGGGAGGCAGCAGUAGGGAAUCUUCCGCAAUGGACGAAAGUCUGAUGGAGCAACGCCGCGUGAGUGAAGAAGGUUUUCGGAUCGUAAAGCUCUGUUGUUGGUGAAGCGGUAAUCAACCAGAAAGGCACGGCUAACUACGUGCCAGCAGCCGCGGUAAUAC